CUCCUGGCUGGGGGAGGGAGGUGGUAACCAGGUGACCCGCCCUGAUAGAGGAGCUGGAGCCUAGAGGACACGUCGGAGUCGGCCAGGAAGGGGAGGCGGGAGCUGGAGGCCGAGGGGACACCCCCCAUCUGAAACCAGACGCUUCCUCUGUGCUCCGUCACCUCCUCCACCCUCUUCACUCCUGCUUUUAACCACGCGGGAACCCUCCAGAGCUCGCCCGCGCAGGGCCCGCCCUCCCCCCGCCUGCCGCCUGACCGCCCACGACCCCGCCCUUACUCCACCGUCUACCCGUCCUGUGUUUUCACACACACGGUCACACCGCAGGACCCUCUUUCCUGGAAGGCAGCUGGUGGCCCCCAGGACUCCGGGACCAGGUACUAUGGAUGGGUGAGGGGUCCUGACCCUCUCUCCAGACAUUCCUCAAGCAACCCUUCCAGCCCCAUGUCACAGAGAGAGAGGCAGAGACACAGGCAGAGGGAGAAGCAGGCUCCAUGCACCGGGAGCCCGACGUGGGAUUCGAUCCCGGGUCUCCAGGAUCGCACCCUGGGCCAAAGGCAGGCGCUAAACCGCUGCACCACCCAGGGAUCCCCUGAAAAUUUUAAAUAAGGUAUGUGACUCAUGAUAUUUUCGGUUGAUGGUCUUGACUAUGCAGGUUUUUCAGCUUCUAUCCUGCUAUGAGGUUCCAUGUUUCAAACAUAAACACUGUGAGGUGGGGAAAGAAGUUUCAGGGAAGCUUGGGAUUUAGCUAUUCUACUCCUUGGAAACUACCCUUCAGAAACACAUGCAUGGGUACCUGUACAAUGAGCAUAUGUUGUAGUAUUAUAUAUAAUUUGAAGAAAAUACUGGAAACAGCCUAAAUGUUCAACCACUGGGGGCUGAUUAAAUAAACAGUGGUACAUCCUUGUAUUGGACAUGGGCAACUAUUAAAAAGGCAAGACAUUUUCCAUAAGAACCACCUGCGAUGUUGUACCUAAAGCUAACACACUGUUAUAUGUCAACUGUAUCUCAACUUUUAAAAAUUUAGUUAUCUCUAUACCCAUCGUGGGACUCAAACUCAUGACUCUGAGAUCAAGAGUUCAGUGCUCUUCCAACCGAGCCGAGCAGGUGCCCCUAAAACUUUAAAAAUAAAAAUAAAAUAAAAUAAAAUUUAAAAAACUACCCAAGACACUUAUUAAAAAUACAAAUCCC